CCUACGGGUGGCAGCAGUGAGGAAUAUUGGUCAAUGGGCGCGAGCCUGAACCAGCCAAGUAGCGUGAAGGAUGACUGCCCUACGGGUUGUAAACUUCUUUUAUAGAGGCAUAAAGUGAGGCGCGUGUGCCUUUUUGUAUGUACUUUAUGAAUAAGGCUCGGCUCACUCCGUUCCAGCAGCCGCGGUAAUACGGAGGAUCCGAGCGUUAUCCGGAUUUAUUGGGUUUAAAGGGAGCGUAGUUGGGUUGUUAAGUCAGUUGUGAAUGUUUGCGGCUCAACCGUAAAAUUGCAAUUGAUACUGGCAGCCUUGAGUACAGUUGAGGUAGGCGGAAUUCGUGGUGUAGCGGUGAAAUGCUUAGAUAUCACGAAGAACUCCGAUUGCGAAGGCAGCCUACUAAACUGCCACUGACAUUGAUGCUCGAAAGUGUGGGUAGCAAACAGGAUUAGAUACCCCAGUAGUC
rnacentral:rRNA from 1 species